CAAUAAUGGAAGCUGUCUGAGCAGUUUACAAUAGCACAAAAAUAUAAAAAUACAAAUAGUUAAAACAUCAUACAAUUUUAAUAUAAAAUUUAAAAGUCAAAUUUAAGUCCAAAUUUAAGUAGAUACAAUAGCUAAAACAAAUUAAAUGACAAAACCAGUUAGACAGGUGAUGCAAUGCCCCAAUGUGUUAUUCAGAACUGAUUAAAUAUACUUGCAUAGAAGACAGUCUUAACUUGGUGCUGGAAAGAGGGCACAGUUGAUGCCAGGUGGAUCUCAAACCUUAUACAGCCUU